AUGCUGCGAGCUUUCGAUUCGCCUCGUCGCAUUAGGGUUUGCUUAAUUCUCUCUCGAAUCUUCAGUUGUUCACCAGAAUUUACUUCUUCAAUCUCGGACUCGCCUGGGAGCUGGAAAAACCUAUCGAUUCCACAGGAAACUCGGCCGCACGAAGAUUUAUCUUUAUCUCCUCUGAAUUUCCGAGGCAUUGCCGAUUCCUUGAUAUCGAAGUGUUCAUAUACUGCGGAUUACAAUAGAUGUAAGUCAUUCACUGGAUUUUUACCGAAGGAUUACUUACUUGAACUCUCUUGUAUCUACCCUGACAUAAUCCGUCGAUUUUGGCGAAUUUCCGUGUGGCAACCUCAGGAUGUUCUUGAGAUAUUACUGGUGUUUGAAUCCGACGAGGUUAGGGCCAAAAAUGUUGAGUAUUUAUGGGGAAUUUUCAAUUGGGCGAGUGGACAGUCCGAGGGGUUUGAGCAUCUUCCUCAAUCAUGUAAGAUCAUGGCAUCGAUGCUUGCACGAGCGGGAUUUUUCAGUGAAACUGAGUCCUUGCUAUCGAGGAGGGAAAUGGAAGGAAAUUUUUUGGAUUGCAAGGAAAUUUUCGAUAGCUUGAUUAAAGGAUAUAUAGAGGAAUUUGAAUUAGACUCUGCUUUUUCAGUUUAUAUGAGAAUGAGGAGACUUUCAUUAGUUCCAUCAUUGUUAAGUUACAUUUCUCUCAUUAAGUAUUUGAUCGAGUUGAACGAUACUCGAACGUUGUAUCCGAUUUAUGUUGAUAUGAUAAUGAUGGGAAUGGGAAUGGGAGGAAGUGUAGAGGAGAAGAUGAUUCAUAAGAAUGUCAUUCGUCUGCUUUGCAUCGAUGGAAGAGUUCAGGAAUCGAGGGAUCUUGUUAAGGAGCUUGCAAAUUAUGGAAUCAAACCUAGCGAUUUUGUUAUUAGUGUGAUCAUUCGAGCUUAUUGUGCCAAGAAGGAUUAUGAUGAUGUGUUGGGUUUCUUGGCCGAAUUCAGGAUUUCGCCUGAAGUUGUGGUUGGAAACAAGAUUCUGUUCUCAAUGUGCAGGAAUUUCGGUGUUGAUCGAGCAAGUGUGUUCUUGGAGAAACUGGAGAGACUCGGUUUCUACCCUGAUGAAGUGUCGUUUGGGAUUUUGAUUGGAUUUUGUUGUUACGAGGGUAAACUAAAGCUUGCUUUCUUUUAUCUUUCAGAGAUUUUGUCAAGAGGGCUUAAGCCACAUGUGUGUUCGUAUAAUGCUCUAUUAAGUGCAAUAUUUGAGGAAGGCAUGCCGAUUCUGUCCCAAGAAAUAAUAGCUGAAAUGAAUGAUAUGGGAGUGUCGCCCUCGUUGGCUACCUUCAGAGUUCUGCUGGCUGGGUUUUGUAAAGCUCGAAAAUUUGACGAAGUGAAGGCAAUAGUCCAUGAGAUGGCGGACUGUAACUUAGUAACCCUCUCGUCGAUGGAAGAUCCAUUGAGCAAAGGAUUUGCCAUAUUGGGUCUCAAUCCUUUGGAUGUGAAAAUUAAGAGGGACAAUGACAAGGGACUUUCUAAGACUGAGUUUUACGAUGAUCUUGGGAACGGGUUGUAUUUAGAUACAAAUUUGGACAAAUUCGAUGAACAGAUCUCCCAGAUUCUUCGCGAAGCCAUGGUGCCUGAAAUGGGAAUUGAUGAAAUGGAAAGAUGGGGCCAAGAAAUGUCUCUUCCCGCACUGUCUUCUUUGCUCGGUGGCCUUUCUAAAGCUCCAUCGGGUGUUGAGAUCAUUAGCCAUCAUUUGGGGGCCAUGUUAAAAUCAAUUUAUGAUCUUGAUCGUAAGAGUUUAAAUGUGCUUGUUCGGACAUACAGCAAGAGGGGAUUUACUUUCAAAGCACGAGCACUUUUCGAUGGAAUGGUUAGAAGGGGUUGCAACAUUGAAUACGGUACAUACUCUAGUCUGUUGUUCGGUGCGUGCAAGAAUGUUGAUUUGAAAAGCUUCCAUUAUUUCCGUAAAAUUGCUCAAGAAUCCGCGUGGUCACCUGAUUUAAAAGAGGCUAACGCCCUUUUAACUUAUCUACUUCGGAACAAGUGGAUGAACGAGGCAUUGGAGCUUUUCGAGACCAUGCUAUUAAUCGCAGCUUCUUCUGAUGUAUCCGACAUUUUUCAAUCCUUACUCGAAAAGCUUUGUCGCCAUGGGUUCACUGAUACUGCUUCUGUUUUGCUCAACAAAUUCUCAAGUCGGGCCACCCUCUCGGAUCGCAUUGCUUACAGUCAUUUGGUCACUCGGUUUUGUCGGGACAAUAGAUUUCCUGAAGCCUUGAAAUUGUUCGAGACUAUGCUUUCCAUUAACUUAUCUCCAUCUUCGAGCUUGUAUGCCGAGUUGAUUUCUUGGCUCUGCCGGACCAACAACUUCAAGAAAGCUGUUGAAUUGAAAACUACAUGCUUGAGGGAUCAACCCUCUGCCGAACUUCUUAUAAACACAGCUUUGAUUAAGGGUUUCUGCAAGUCGAGAAGAGCUGAUGAAGCCGGUGCUCUAUUCACGACGUCUCUUCUAAAGGGCUUAUCUCCCGAUGAUGAGGUAUUCAACUCGUUAAUUGAAGGCUACUGUAGAGUGUAUAACUCGAACAAAGUUCGAGAGCUUCUGGGGUUUAUGAUAAGGAAGAAUCUGAGCAUAUUUGGAUCUAGCUAUAGCCAUGCCGCACGAUUGUUAUGCGCCGAAGGAAGGUUCGCUUUGGCGAUUCGUUUGAAAGAUCUCAUUCUUCGAGUAACUGAACUCCCGGAUCUCGUUCUGCAUAACGUUUUGAUAUUUCACCUUUCGUCGUCACGGGACAGUUCCUUAUUGGAUGUGGCAGUCGGAAUGGAAGGAAUCCUGUUUGAUGAUGUUACUUACAAUUUUGUCGUUCGGGGAUAUAUGAUGAGUAACGACAUCCCUCGAUCUCUUCACUAUCUGACAGCUAUGAUAAAGCAGGAUCUUAAACCGAGUAAUCGUGUCCUCAGGGAAUCGAUCCACUUUCUUUGCCGCAACGGCGAGAUUCAGCUCGCGUUGGAUUUGAGUCUGGAAAUGGAGUCUCAUGGUUGGGUUCACAGUUCGUCUGUUCAAACCAGCAUUGUCGAGGCACUUCUCAGCACCGGGAACCUGCAACAAGCAGUCGAGUUUCUAGACAGAAUGGCGUCGAAGGAUCUGAUUCCCAAAAAUGUACAAUACGAUCGUUUAAUCAAGGAGUUUUGUCGACACGGUCUGCUGGCGAAAUCCGUCGACCUUUUAAAUAUCAUGUUACAGAAGGGGAGUCGGCCUGCUUCCACCAGCUACGACUAUCUCAUCCAGGGCUUGUGCAGCGGCGGGAAAUUGAAUUUAGCACAAGAUUUUUACACGGAGAUGGUGUGUCGGGACAUGAAGCCGGGCAAGCAUACUGGGGAUAUUCUCGUUUGCAAGCUGUCUGAAUACGAUCGGAUUGGGGAAGCAGAGAAUGUGCUUAAAUCGAGGAUUCGGUUUGGGGAGAAGCCGAGCCAUGAGGCUUUCUGUGCAGUGAUCGAUGGGUAUCGGAGCAAGAAGAGCGUCGGGAAGACGACGGAGCUGGUGGAGGCGAUGCAGGAGAUGGGGUACCGGCCGGAUUUCGAUACACAUUGGGGUCUUGUGAGCAGUCUGAGUAGCAAAUGUAGCAAGAGGGAUGAGAGCAGUAAUUUUGUGGCAGGAAUUCUUUCUGGAUUUGGGUUGUCAAGGAAGACGUCGAGCUAACCUUAGGCUUAUGAUGGUGAGAAUGACAACAUUUCUAAGGGUGGAAUUUAUACACUUCCAAGCCAUUUAUCUGCUGGUGCUAGAGAUCUCAUUCCGAGGAUGCUUAUAGUUGAUCCCAUGAAGCGGAUGACUAUUCCUGAGAUACAUGCUCAUCCCUGGUUUCAAGCUCAUCUCCAGCGCUAUUUGGCUGUGCCACCACCGGAUACAGCCCAACUGGCAGAAAAGAUUGAUGAAGAGAUUCUUCAAGAGGUUGUUAAGAUGGGUUUUGGUCGGAAUGGUCUUGUCGAUUAGCUGCGAAGCAGGGUUCAGAAUGAGGAAUAUGGGUACAAUCGGACGAAUCCUAAUGAGACUAUAGCAUCUCCUGUUGGGCGGGCGAUAGAUUAUCCACAAUUUGGGGGGAGCAGGUAUCCGGUUGAUCGGAAAUGGGCACUUGGACUCCAGUCGCGAGCCCAUCCUCGAGAGAU